GACGAACGCUGGCGGCGUGCUUAACACAUGCAAGUCGAACGGCAAGGCACUGCUUUUGUGGGGUGCCCGAGUGGCGAUCGCGUGCGUAACACGUGUGUAACCUGCUCUUGACUUUGGGAUGACUUCAGGUAACUGGGGCUACUACCGGAUAGGAGCCCCUCUUGCAGGGAGGGGGUUGGAAAGUUUCGGCGUUCGGGAAUGGAGUCGCGGGUAAUGAGCUAGUUGGUUGGGUAGUGGCUUACCAAGUAAGUGACUGGUAGCCGGCCUGUGAGGGUGAACGGCGACCUUGGGACUGAGAUACGGCCCAGACUGGUACGUGAGGCAGUAGUGGGAAAUAUUGCCCAACGGGCCGACGCCGGAGGCGGCAACGCCGCGGGCGGGAUGACGUCCUGUGGGUUGUGAACCGCUUUCGCCUGUGACGAAGCUGUAGUGACGGUAAUGGGUAAAGAAGCACCGGCUAACUACGUG
rnacentral:rRNA from 1 species